UAGCCAGGUUUAGCAGGUGAUUAGGUAUGGC
rnacentral:piRNA from 1 species